GGAGUCCAUCUUGCGUUUGACUUCGGCUCUGACUCCGGUUAGGUCCUUCUGAUCUGCCAGAAGCAAACCUGUCGUCAAACGAGGAAGAGAAUAUCCGUGCUCCUUUCUUCCGAAUCCAGGGCUGAAACAUCGACUCUUGCGGAUCGGAGACCACCCGCUUUAUCACGGCAAGAUGUGCGCCGAAUUUAGCAGCUUCGUCAUCGCCCUGAUGGACGUCAUAGCGCGAACCUCAAAACAGCUCGGGGGCCUCGUCCAGCAGAAGAUGUUGUGCGGAGCUUCGAAGUCGAUGCAGGAGUGCUCUGUCACGGCCGCGGUGAAUGGAGGCGUCACUUCUCAGCAGGUGACGUCGACCAGAGAGAAGGUCGAGUAGACAGAAAAUCUAAAUCGCUUCCAACCGUGGUAUUUUGAUCCAUUUUAGUUCUGUUGAUGUAAAGUGACCCUCUCGUUUUUCGGCGUUUCCUCCGAGAAUAAAAACAAAUCCUUCUAAA